UACGAAGGGGGCUAGCGUUGCUCGGAAUCACUGGGCGUAAAGGGUGCGUAGGCGGGUCUUUAAGUCAGGGGGGAAAUCCUGGAGCUCAACUCCAGAACUGCCUUUGAUACUGAGGAUCUUGAGUACGGGAGAGGUGAGUGGAACUGCGAGUGUAGAGGUGAAAUUCGUAGAUAUUCGCAAGAACACCAGUGGCGAAGGCGGCUCACUGGCCCGUAACUGACGCUGAGGAGCGAAAGCGUGGGGAGCGAUCCGG
rnacentral:rRNA from 1 species